rnacentral:rRNA from 1 species
AGUGAACGCUGGCGGUAGGCCUGACACAUGCAAGUCGAACGGCAGCACAGUAAGAGCUUGCUCUUACGGGUGGCGAGUGGCGGACGGGUGAGGAAUACAUCGGAAUCUACUUUUUCGUGGGGGAUAACGUAGGGAAACUUACGCUAAUACCGCAUACGACCUACGGGUGAAAGCAGGGGAUCUUCGGAUCUUGCGCGAUUGAAUGAGCCGAUGUCGGAUUAGCUAGUUGGCGGGGUAAAGGCCCACCAAGGCGACGAUCCGUAGCUGGUCUGAGAGGAUGAUCAGCCACACUGGAACUGAGACACGGUCCAGACUCCUACGGGAGGCAGCAGUGGGGAAUAUUGGACAAUGGGCGCAAGCCUGAUCCAGCCAUACCGCGUGGGUGAAGAAGGCCUUCGGGUUGUAAAGCCCUUUUGUUGGGAAAGAAAAGCAGCAGGUUAAUACCCCGCUGUUCUGACGGUACCCAAAGAAUAAGCACCGGCUAACUUCGUG